rnacentral:rRNA from 1 species
AACGCUAGCUACAGGCUUAACACAUGCAAGUCGAGGGGCAUCAGGGUAGCAAUACCGCUGGCGACCGGCGCACGGGUGAGUAACGCGUAUCCAACCUUCCCCAUAGUCAGGAAUAGCCCGGCGAAAGUCGAAUUAAUGCCUGAUGUUUUCCACGGACGGCAUCUGAUGUGGAACAAAGAUUCAUCGCUAUGGGAUGGGGAUGCGUCUGAUUAGCUUGUUGGCGGGGUAACGGCCCACCAAGGCAACGAUCAGUAGGGGUUCUGAGAGGAAGGUCCCCCACAUUGGAACUGAGACACGGUCCAAACUCCUACGGGAGGCAGCAGUGAGGAAUAUUGGUCAAUGGGCGGAAGCCUGAACCAGCCAAGUAGCGUGAGGGAUGACUGCCCUAUGGGUUGUAAACCUCUUUUAUAAGGGAAUAAAAUACGGGACGUGUCCUGUUUUGCAUGUACCUUAUGAAUAAGGAUCGGCUAACUCCGUGCCAGCAGCCGCGGUAAUACGGAGGAUCCGAGCGUUAUCCGGAUUUAUUGGGUUUAAAGGGUGCGUAGGUGGUUUGAUAAGUCAGCGGUGAAAGUUUGCAGCUUAACUGUAAAAAUGCCGUUGAAACUGUCGGACUUGAGUGUAAAUGAGGUAGGCGGAAUGCGUGGUGUAGCGGUGAAAUGCUUAGAUAUCACGAAGAACUCCGAUUG